AUUGAACGCUGGCGGCAGGCCUAACACAUGCGAGUCGAACGGUAGCACAGAGAGCUUGCUCUCGGGUGACGAGUGGCGGACGGGUGAGUAAUGUCUGGGAAACUGCCCGAUGGAGGGGGAUAACUACUGGAAACGGUAGCUAAUACCGCAUAACGUCGCAAGACCAAAGUGGGGGACCUUCGGGCCUCACACCAUCGGAUGUGCCCAGAUGGGAUUAGCUAGUAGGUGGGAUAAUGGCUCACCUAGGCGACGAUCCCUAGCUGGUCUGAGAGGGUGACCAGCCACACUGGAACUGAGACACGGUCCAGACUCCUACGGGAGGCAGCAGUGGGGAAUAUUGCACAAUGGGCGCAAGCCUGAUGCAGCCAUGCCGCGUGUAUGAAGAAGGCCUUCGGGUUGUAAAGUACUUCCAGCGGGGAGGAAGGCGGUGAAGUUAAUAGCUUCACCGAUUGACGUUACCCGCAGAAGAAGCACCGGCUAACUCCGUGCCAGCAGCCGCCGUAA
rnacentral:rRNA from 1 species